GGUAGCUAAUACCGCAUACGCCCUAUGGGGGAAAGGCUUCGGCCGCUAUUGGAUGAGCCCGCGUCAGAUUAGCUAGUUGGUAGGGUAAAGGCCUACCAAGGCAACGAUCUGUAGCUGGUCUGAGAGGACGAACAGCCACACUGGGACUGAGACACGGCCCAGACUCCUACGGGAGGCAGCAGUGGGGAAUAUUGGACAAUGGGCGAAAGCCUGAUCCAGCAAUGCCGCGUGUGUGAAGAAGGCCUGCGGGUUGUAAAGCACUUUCAGUUGGGAAGAUGAUGACGUUACCAACAGAAGAAGCACCGGCUAAAUCCGUGCCAGCAGCCGCGGUAAUACGGAUGGUGCGAGCGUUAAUCGGAAUUACUGGGCGUAAAGCGCGCGUAGGCGGCUAAGUCAGUCAGAAGUGAAAGCCCCGGGCUCAACCUGGGUAUUGCUUUUGAUACUGCUUAGCUAGAGUUUGGUAGAGGAUAGUGGAAUUCCAGGUGUAGCGGUGAAAUGCGUAGAUAUCUGGAGGAACAUCAGUGGCGAAGGCGACUGUCUGGACCAAAACUGACGCUGAGGUGCGAAAGCGUGGGUAGCAAACAGGAUUAGAUACCCUGGUAGUCCACGCCGUAAACGAUGUCAACUAGCCGUCGGGUCUAUUUACAGACUUGGUGGCGAAGCUAACGCGAUAAGUUGACCGCCUGGGGAGUACGGCCGCAAGGUU
rnacentral:rRNA from 1 species